AAUCACCCUAUAAGUUUCAGACAAUAUACUAUACACUGGCUAAGAUCCACAUGAGAACAGUGAAUAUUCAGGUACACGGGUCGCUUACGGCACAUUCAGCCGUCCAACUUCAGGCACAGUGGUUGCCUCAGUCGCACACGGUGGCCUGGUAACGAGCGACAACCAGCAGUGCAAGCAGAUUGAACAGUGUGUCCCACCUGGUUGCACCGACAGUCGCCGUUCAAGAUGUGCAACUUGCAUUGCGAAGCAAUCGGCUGACGCAGGCAUCUGCUACCGCACCCAACAUAGCGAAAUGGACUACUCGGCAUUUUAUCGUUACAUCCUUUCCAACCUGCACGAUUCUUUUUGUUCUUUCUGGGGCCGCUAAUGUGUCGCUCCCCCUUGGAGCCGUACCUUCUCUCAAUAUGGACAAGGUCGGUUUUGUAGGCGUGAAGAUUUUGCAGCCACUUUUGCAGGCAUUUCUAUCCACGUGGCUAUCAACUUCAUACAUUUCGGACCAUGUAAGCACGUAUGCUAGUCUCUGUUCGCGCCAAAUCACGGCCGAGGAAGGCCACAAGCACAUUUUGCCCACGGCUGCAGCAGGAAAGGACGAAUGGGUAGCACCAAUCAUGGUGCGUGUAAACAGAGAGUCUAUGUCGCUGUGCGGACUGCAGGAGCAAGUGCUUACCUCGAGAGACUGCUUCCCAAUGGAAGUGACCAGGACCCCACAUGCGAGAAACGUAACAUGGUGACCACGACCAAGUGGGAUAGCAGCGAAAACACAUUCUGCAAUCAAUCACUUCAGCGUCGCUUGCACAAAAAUCAGGCUAUCGAGCAAGAAGAGCAAUCCUGAACGAGACUAGGAAUUAAAUUAGAAAAUACUGCUACAGAUAUGUUUUGCUACUGGACAAUGACGGGUAUUAAGUAUGAGCAAAGAAUCGGUUGACCUUUAUGUUUGGGUAAGGAAGAAGGAUGAUCUUUAACGAGAAUGGGGAAUGAAAAAGCUUGUAUUCAUA
rnacentral:lncRNA from 1 species